rnacentral:tRNA from 1 species
GUGUAGUUAAGUGGGAAAGCAUAUGCUUAGCAUGCAUGAGGCCCUGGGUUCAAUCCCCAGCAC